UUCGUGUGAACAGUGGUUGAUCACGAGUUAGUCGGUCCUAAGUUCAAGGCGAAAGCCGAAAAUUUUCAAGUAAAAACAAAAUGUGAAUAUAUUUAUAUAUAGUUGUAACUAUUUUUAAAACACUUGAAUAAUUUUGAACGAAAGGGAAUACGGUUCCAAUUCCGUAACCUGUUGAGUAUCCGUUUGUUAUUAAAUAUGGGCCUCGUGCUCAUCCUGGCAACAGGAACGACCAUAAAGAAGCCGUCGAGAGAUAUCGGAAGAGUUUUCUUUUCUGUUUUAUAGCCGUACUACCAUGGAAGUCUUUCGCAGAGAGAUAUGGUAGAUGGGCUAGAAGAGCAUGACAUAUACUGUUGUGUCGAUAUUUUCUCCUCGGACCUUGAAAAUUUAUGGUGGGGACACGCAAACUUCUCAACAGGCCGUACCAAUAUCCGCAGCUGGUCUCCAAGGUGAAGAGUCUCUAGUCGAUAGAAUA
rnacentral:rRNA from 1 species